rnacentral:rRNA from 1 species
UUUUUUGGGAUCGCAGCUACCUGCAGUCGAGGGGUACAGAGAGUGCUUGCACUCUGCUGACGACCGGCGCACGGGUGCGUAACGCGUAUACAAUCUACCUUUUACAGGGGGAUAGCCCAGAGAAAUUUGGAUUAAUACCCCAUAGUAUAUAUAAGUGGCAUCGCUUAUAUAUUAAAGUUACGGCGGUAAGAGAUGAGUAUGCGUCCUAUUAGCUAGAUGGAGUGGUAACGGCACACCAUGGCAACGAUAGGUAGGGGCCCUGAGAGGGGGAUCCCCCACACUGGUACUGAGACACGGACCAGACUCCUACGGGAGGCAGCAGUGAGGAAUAUUGGACAAUGGGCGGAAGCCUGAUCCAGCCAUGCCGCGUGCAGGAAGACUGCCCUAUGGGUUGUAAACUGCUUUUAUACAGGUAGAAACCUCCUUACGAGUAGGGAGCUGACGGUACUGUAAGAAUAAGCAUCGGCUAACUCCGUGCCAGCAGCCGCGGUAAUACGGAGGAUGCAAGCGUUAUCCGGAAUCAUUGGGUUUAAAGGGUCCGUAGGUGGAUAAUUAAGUCAGAGGUGAAAGUCUGCAGCUCAACUGUAGAAUUGCCUUUGAUACUGGUUAUCUUGAGUCAUUAUGAAGUGGUUAGAAUGUGUAGUGUAGCGGUGAAAUGCAUAGAUAUUACACAGAAUACCGAUUGCGAAGGCAGAUCACUAAUAAUGUGCUGACACUGAUGGACGAAAGCGUGGGGAGCGAACAGGAUUAGAUACCCUGGUAGUCCACGCCGUAAACGAUGGUCACUAGCUGUUCGGACUUCGGUCUGAGUGGCUAAGCGAAAGUGAUAAGUGACCCACCUGGGGAGUACGUUC